rnacentral:ncRNA from 3 species
UACGGAGGGAGCUAGCGUUGUUCGGAAUUACUGGGCGUAAAGCGCACGUAGGCGGCUUUGUAAGUUAGAGGUGAAAGCCUGGAGCUCAACUCCAGAACUGCCUUUGAUACUGCAUGGCUUGAAUCCAAGAGAGGUGAGUGGAAUUCCGAGUGUAGAGGUGAAAUUCGUAGAUAUUCGGAAGAACACCAGUGGCGAAGGCGGCUCACUGGCUUGGUAUUGACGCUGAGGUGCGAAAGCGUGGGGAGCAAACAGG